rnacentral:pre_miRNA from 14 species
GUUUAUUCAGGUUACUGAAAGACCCCCGGAGUGGGGAGACCCUCACUCAAGUCUCAGGAUGACGAGACCCCCCAAGAACUCACACAAGACC